AUUGAACGCUGGCGGCAGGCUUAACACAUGCAAGUCGAGCGGAGCGAGGGUGCUUGCACCUUAGCUUAGCGGCGGACGGGUGAGUAAUGCUUAGGAAUCUACCUAUUAGUGGGGGACAACAUUCCGAAAGGAAUGCUAAUACCGCAUACGCCCUACGGGGGAAAGCAGGGGAUCUUCGGACCUUGCGCUAAUAGAUGAGCCUAAGUCGGAUUAGCUAGUUGGCGGGGUAAAGGCCUACCAAGGCGACGAUCUGUAGCGGGUCUGAGAGGAUGAUCCGCCACACUGGGACUGAGACACGGCCCAGACUCCUACGGGAGGCAGCAGUGGGGAAUAUUGGACAAUGGGCGGAAGCCUGAUCCAGCCAUGCCGCGUGUGUGAAGAGGGCCUUUUGGUUGUAAAGCACUUUAAGCGAGGAGGAGGCUCUUAAGGUUAAUACCCUUGAUGAGUGGACGUUACUCGCAGAAUAAGCACCGGCUAACUCUGUGCCAGCCGCCGCGGUAACAC
rnacentral:rRNA from 1 species